GAGGCAUUAAUCAAAUUAGUAUUUUCUUCAUGUUCUCCUCUCUCUCUCCUCUAACAGAAAUUCAUGCAUUAUUUGCUCACUCUUCUUCUUCUCCUUCUCAUUCUCUUAUAUCAAUUACAGAUUGGAGCUCUAUCCAUGGCGAUUCACAAUUUUAGUUUAUUUUUUCUGUUAGAUACCUGUAAUUUCAGUUAGAUUCCGUUAGGUUUGAAUAUAGAAAAUUGUUGUCCUAAGAUUGUUGAAUUUCGCUGAGUUUAAUUGAAUUUCGUUGAGUUUUAGUUACGUAAUCGAGGUCAGCUCCUGACAAUUGGUAUCAGAGACGCGAUUUGUGCGAACCUGUGGGUUGUAGACAUAACUGAAGGUAUUCGUUCUACGGUUGUAGAGGAUCGGGUAGCUCGACAUGAAGAAAUUUCGGCUGAGCUAGUGAACCAGCAACACGAGCUUCGUAACAGUCAAACAUGGAUACAAGGAACAUUGGAACCACUCGGAGAUGGAUUGCUUCCUUUUCCAGCGCAGGAGAAUAGAAACAACAGGGGAAACAUGGUUCCCAUAUCACCUCCUAAAUGGGAACUGCCUAGCUUUGACGGAUAGGAGCCUAAGAUACGGUUGCGGAGAGAGACUUGUGGCUGACGAUCUUUACUUGUGGACUCUGUUACUGAGGUGAACCUUUGCAUUAUUCAUGGAGGCUGUCAUCCAGCUUUAGUCAUUUUAGAUUAUAUUCCUUUUCAUUAGGUUUGUAUGCUCGAACGCUGAACUCAUGUAACUUGUUUAUAUGCUCCAUGGUCUAGUGUGGGGUUUGGGGUAGAGAUUUGUAAUCUAAACCACUGUUGUUUUCGAAAAUCGUUAUGCGAUAUCUUGUUAAACAA